ACAUGAAUCACCUGGGGAUCUUGUUAAAAGGCAGACUUUGAUUUGGUAGGUUUGGGGUGGGGCCUGAGAUUCUUCAUUUCUAUCAAGCUCCCAGAUGAUGCUGAU
rnacentral:pre_miRNA from 2 species